rnacentral:rRNA from 1 species
UACGGGGGGUGCGAGCGUUGUCCGGAAUUACUGGGCGUAAAGGGCGCGUAGGCGGUCUUGUAAGUUUGCGGUGAAAGCCCGGGGCUCAACCCCGGGUCUGCCGCGAAUACUGCGAGACUUGAGUACUGUAGAGGCUGGUAGAAUGCCGGGUGUAGCGGUGGAAUGCGUAGAGAUCCGGCAGAAGACCGGUGGCGAAGGCGGCCAGCUGGGCAGUGACUGACGCUGAGGCGCGACAGCGUGGGGAGCAAACAGG